UGAGUCCCCUGGAACGGGGCGCCCUAGAGGGUGAGAGCCCCGUAUAGUUGGAUGCCUAGCCCGUGUAAAGCUCCUUCGACGAAUCGAGUAGUUUGGGAAUGCUGCUCAAAAUGGGAGGUAAAUUUCUUCUAAAGCUAAAUACUGGCCAGAGACCGAUAGCGCACAAGUAGAGUGAUCGAAAGAUGAAAAGCACUUUGAAAAGAGGGUUAAAUAGCACGUGAAAUUGUUGAAAGGGAAGCGCUUGUGACCAGACUUGCGCCGGGCUGAUCAUCCGGUGUUCUCACCGGUGCACUCUGCCCGGCUCAAGCCAGCAUCGGUUCUCGCGGGGGGAUAAAGGCCCAGGGAACGUAGCUCCUCCGGGAGUGUUAUAGCCCUGGGUGUAAUGCCCUCGCGGGGACCGAGGUUCGCGCAUCUGCAAGGAUGCUGGCGUAAUGGUCACCAGCGACCCGU
rnacentral:rRNA from 1 species